UUUAUGGAGAGUUUGAUCCUGGCUCAGGAUGAACGCUGGCGGCGUGCCUAAUACAUGCAAGUCGAGCGAACGGACGAGAAGCUUGCUUCUCUGAUGUUAGCGGCGGACGGGUGAGUAACACGUGGAUAACCUACCUAUAAGACUGGGAUAACUUCGGGAAACCGGAGCUAAUACCGGAUAAUAUUUUGAACCGCAUGGUUCAAAAGUGAAAGACGGUCUUGCUGUCACUUAUAGAUGGAUCCGCGCUGCAUUAGCUAGUUGGUAAGGUAACGGCUUACCAAGGCAACGAUGCAUAGCCGACCUGAGAGGGUGAUCGGCCACACUGGAACUGAGACACGGUCCAGACUCCUACGGGAGGCAGCAGUAGGGAAUCUUCCGCAAUGGGCGAAAGCCUGACGGAGCAACGCCGCGUGAGUGAUGAAGGUCUUCGGAUCGUAAAACUCUGUUAUUAGGGAAGAACAUAUGUGUAAGUAACUGUGCACAUCUUGACGGUACCUAAUCAGAAAGCCACGGCUAACUACGUGCCAGCAGCCGCGGUAAUACGUAGGUGGCAAGCGUUAUCCGGAAUUAUUGGGCGUAAAGCGCGCGUAGGCGGUUUUUUAAGUCUGAUGUGAAAGCCCACGGCUCAACCGUGGAGGGUCAUUGGAAACUGGAAAACUUGAGUGCAGAAGAGGAAAGUGGAAUUCCAUGUGUAGCGGUGAAAUGCGCAGAGAUAUGGAGGAACACCAGUGG
rnacentral:rRNA from 1 species